UAUAUUUUGGUGUAAGAAGCACAAUAAUUUUUGAUAUUGUAAGAUAUAGUUUAAUUCUAUAAAAUAUAA
rnacentral:tRNA from 1 species